rnacentral:rRNA from 1 species
UAACGUACGUACGUAGUACGUACGUACGUACGUUACGUACGUACGGAACGAACUUAAUACCGUAAAGGUGAGCUAAUGCCGGAUGAGUUAUAUAAGUGCAUGUUUAUAUAGGAAAAGUUGGGAGACCUGACGCUGAAAGAUGGACUCGCGUCCCAUUAGCUAGUUGGUAGGGUAAUGGCCUACCAAGGCGACGAUGGGUAGCCGGCCUGAGAGGGUGGCCGGCCACACUGGGACUGAGACACGGCCCAGACUCCUACGGAAGGCAGCAG